UGUUUGCACUUAGCGGGAAGGGUAAGAACCUUCGACUAAGGUUCGACUCGAGCGCCAGCGAGAGAACGUUGCCGCAGGCAACGGCCCGAAGGGCGAGGAGMGAUAGCGACGAGUUAUCCUUCCCCCACCACCA
rnacentral:sRNA from 1 species